AGGGGCAUAGUUUAAAGGUAGAACGAAGGUCUCCAAAACCUUUGGUGUGGGUUCAAGUCCUACUGCCCCUGCCA
rnacentral:tRNA from 1 species